GACGAACGCUGGCGGCGUGCCUAAUACAUGCAAGUAGAACGCAGUUGCGAACGGGUGAGUAACGCGUAGGUAACUGCCUCAUAGCGGGGGAUAACUAUUGGAAACGAUAGCUAAUACCGCAUAAUGUUAGAUGGACCUGCGUUGUAUUAGCUAGUUGGUGGGGUAAAGGCUCACCAAGGCGACGAUACAUAGCCGACCGUAGAGGGUGAUCGACCACACUGGGACUGGGACACGGCCCAGACUCCUACGGGAGGCAGAAGUGGGGAAUAUUGGACAAUGGGGGAAGGCCUGAUGCGUCCAUGCCGCGUGUAUGAAGAAGGCGUUCGGGUUGUAAAGUACUUUCAGCGGGGAGCGGUACCCGCAGAAAAAGCGCCGGCUAACUACGUGCCAGCAGCCGCGGUAAUUC
rnacentral:rRNA from 1 species